AGAGUUUGAUCCUGGCUCAGGACGAACGCUGGCGGCGUGCCUAAUACAUGCAAGUCGAACGAACUCUGGUAUUGAUUGGUGCUUGCAUCAUGAUUUACAUUUGAGUGAGUGGCGAACUGGUGAGUAACACGUGGGAAACCUGCCCAGAAGCGGGGGAUAACACCUGGAAACAGAUGCUAAUACCGCAUAACAACUUGGACCGCAUGGUCCGAGUUUGAAAGAUGGCUUCGGCUAUCACUUUUGGAUGGUCCCGCGGCGUAUUAGCUAGAUGGUGAGGUAACGGCUCACCAUGGCAAUGAUACGUAGCCGACCUGAGAGGGUAAUCGGCCACAUUGGGACUGAGACACGGCCCAGACUCCUACGGGAGGCAGCAGUAGGGAAUCUUCCACAAUGGACGAAAGUCUGAUGGAGCAACGCCGCGUGAGUGAAGAAGGGUUUCGGCUCGUAAAACUCUGUUGUUAAAGAAGAACAUAUCUGAGAGUAACUGUUCAGGUAUUGACGGUAUUUAACCAGAAAGCCACGGCUAACUACGUGCCAGCAGCCGCGGUAAUACGUAGGUGGCAAGCGUUGUCCGGAUUUAUUGGGCGUAAAGCGAGCGCAGGCGGUUUUUUAAGUCUGAUGUGAAAGCCUUCGGCUCAACCGAAGAAGUGCAUCGGAAACUGGGAAACUUGAGUGCAGAAGAGGACAGUGGAACUCCAUGUGUAGCGGUGAAAUGCGUAGAUAUAUGGAAGAACACCAGUGGCGAAGGCGGCUGUCUGGUCUGUAACUGACGCUGAGGCUCGAAAGUAUGGGUAGCAAACAGGAUUAGAUACCCUGGUAGUCCAUACCGUAAACGAUGAAUGCUAAGUGUUGGAGGGUUUCCGCCCUUCAGUGCUGCAGCUAACGCAUUAAGCAUUCCGCCUGGGGAGUACGGCCGCAAGGCUGAAACUCAAAGGAAUUGACGGGGGCCCGCACAAGCGGUGGAGCAUGUGGUUUAAUUCGAAGCUACGCGAAGAACCUUACCAGGUCUUGACAUACUAUGCAAAUCUAAGAGAUUAGACGUUCCCUUCGGGGACAUGGAUACAGGUGGUGCAUGGUUGUCGUCAGCUCGUGUCGUGAGAUGUUGGGUUAAGUCCCGCAACGAGCGCAACCCUUAUUAUCAGUUGCCAGCAUUAAGUUGGGCACUCUGGUGAGACUGCCGGUGACAAACCGGAGGAAGGUGGGGAUGACGUCAAAUCAUCAUGCCCCUUAUGACCUGGGCUACACACGUGCUACAAUGGAUGGUACAACGAGUUGCGAACUCGCGAGAGUAAGCUAAUCUCUUAAAGCCAUUCUCAGUUCGGAUUGUAGGCUGCAACUCGCCUACAUGAAGUCGGAAUCGCUAGUAAUCGCGGAUCAGCAUGCCGCGGUGAAUACGUUCCCGGGCCUUGUACACACCGCCCGUCACACCAUGAGAGUUUGUAACACCCAAAGUCGGUGGGGUAACCUUUUAGGAACCAGCCGCCUAAGGUGGGACAGAUGAUUAGGGUGAAGUCGUAACAAGGUAGCC
rnacentral:rRNA from 1 species